UAAGGAAUAUUGGUCAAUGGACGCAAGUCUGAACCAGCCAUGCCGCGUGGAGGAUGAAGGUCCUCUGGAUUGUAAACUUCUUUUAUCUGGGACGAAACACUUCUUUUCUAAGAGGCCUGACGGUACCAGAUGAAUAAGCACCGGCUAACUCCGUGCCAGCAGCCGCGGUAAUACGGAGGGUGCAAGCGUUAUCCGGAUUCACUGGGUUUAAAGGGUGCGUAGGUGGGUAUGUAAGUCAGUGGUGAAAUCCCCGAGCUUAACUUGGGAACUGCCAUUGAUACUAUAUAUCUUGAAUACCGUAGAGNUAAGCGGAAUAUGUCAUGUAGCGGUGAAAUGCUUAGAUAUGACAUGGAACACCAAUUGCGAAGGCAGCUUACUAUGCGGUGAUUGACACUGAGGCACGAAAGCGUGGGUAGCAAACA
rnacentral:rRNA from 1 species